UGUUCAUGCUUAUGAGUUGCAUUCAUAAUAAAGAAGAUGAUAUCGCUGUAUGUUAGUAUUUAAUCUUGCACACUUAUCUCCAAAGUCCAGAUUUCCAAGAAGAAGGAGAGGAACCAUGCAGUUCUACAACACAGAUGAAUUCGCUCCAUUGGGUUAAAAAUACAUAAAUAACACUGUUUGGAAGAUGAAUUAAUUGCUGCUGUUAGUCGGUUGUGAUUUACUGAUAGUAAUAGAAGUAGAAAA